UACGUAGGUGGCAAGCGUUGUCCGGAUUACUGGGCGUAAAGAGCGCGCAGGCGGUCGAUUUAGUCGCGUGUGAAAGCCCCCGGCUCAACUGGGGAGGGUCACGCGAUACUGAUCGACUCGAAGGCAGGAGAGGGUAGUGGAAUUCCCGGUGUAGUGGUGAAAUGCGUAGAUAUCGGGAGGAACACCAGUGGCGAAGGCGGACUACCUGGCCUGUUCUUGACGCUGAGGCGCGAAAGCUAGGGGAGCAAACGGGG
rnacentral:rRNA from 1 species